AUGGAGGUCGACUGUAACCAAGCAAACAUGCACAUAAAAAAUGCCUUGUAUAUAUCAAGGAUAUAUUUUAGUAAAAAGAAAAAUACAAUAAAGAUGGUAGAUCUGGUUGAUGCAGAAGGGUAUCACUGUGUCAUUAAGAGAACCAGAAGGGAUGACUAUGAGAAAUAUAUUGGGCAUGGAUGGUACGAAUUUGUGAAACAAAAAAGCUUCAGGAAGGAGAUGUGCUGGAGUUUUCCUUGA